CUUGGCUGCCAACCCAGAGUCAGGAAGCAGAAGAAAUUAUGUUCACCCCUAACUCUCCACGUUCCCAUCUGUUCGCCACUUGGUUAUGGUGGACAGCCUGUGAUUGCCAUGACGGAUUUAGCGGGCUUCACAUCGGGAGCCCUGGCUCCCCCAGGGGACUUCCUGUCAUCUUGGAUUACCCCUGGUGAGCUGGUCUAGAAACCCCACACAGUUCACCAUUCGUUUCAACAUCUAUGCGGAAGGAGAGAAGAGAGUCCGUGUGCCAGUUAAGUCAUCCUUUGAAUUUCCAUCAGCCCUGGAGAAAAUAAUCGAGGGGUUUGGGGAACUAUGGAAAGGUCAAAGGUUUGCAGGUUUAACGUUUCGUGGGAACAUGCGCACGUUUGGACCGGCCCCAAGUGCGGGGUCGACCUGUUUGACAGGACUCAUCAUGGAUGUGAUGUGUUGCUAUGACGACCAGCAUGCCUCAUCAAUCAGAAACAUAUGCAUGUCUGCUCUGACCACUACACAGAUGCAAGCUGCCCUGCCUGGGUCUUGAUAUAUGAGAUUAAAAGAAGCUGAGCUGGAGAGUUGGUUGAGCAGUUAAGAAAGCACUGA